ACUCCUGCGGGAGGCAGCAGUGGGGAAUAUUGGACAAUGGGCGCAAGCCUGAUCCAGCCAUGCCGCGUGAGUGAUGAAGGCCCUAGGGUUGUAAAGCUCUUUCACCGGUGAAGAUAAUGACGGUAACCGGAGAAGAAGCCCCGGCUAACUUCGUGCCAGCAGCCGCGGUAAUACGAAGGGGGCUAGCGUUGUUCGGAUUUACUGGGCGUAAAGCGCACGUAGGCGGACUAUUAAGUCAGGGGUGAAAUCCCGGGGCUCAACCCCGGAACUGCCUUUGAUACUUGUAGUCUUGAGUUCGAGAGAGGUGAGUGGAAUUCCGAGUGUAGAGGUGAAAUUCGUAGAUAUUCGGAGGAACACCAGUGGCGAAGGCGGCUCACUGGCUCGAUACUGACGCUGAGGUGCGAAAGCGUGGGGAGCAAACAGGAUUAGAAACCCGAGUAGUCCCAUG
rnacentral:rRNA from 1 species